UAGAGGAAGUAAAAGUCGUAACAAGGUUUCCGUAGGUGAACCUGCGGAAGGAUCAUUAAAGAAUUUAGGCUUUACCGCCAUAUUCUCACCCUUUGUAUACGUAUACUAUGUUGCCUUGGCAGGCUGUUACUAGCCUGCCGGUGGACCUCAACUCUAGAAUCUUUGCUGUCUGAGUACUAUAUAAUAGUUAAAACUUUCAACAACGGAUCUCUUGGUUCUGGCAUCGAUGAAGAACGCAGCGAAAUGCGAUAAGUAAUGUGAAUUGCAGAAUUCAGUGAAUCAUCGAAUCUUUGAACGCACAUUGCGCCCUCUGGUAUUCCAGGGGGCAUGCCUGUUCGAGCGUCAUUACAACCCUCACGCCUAGCGUGGUCUUGGGCUCGCCCUGUAGGGCCUGCCUCAAAGUCAGUGGCGGCGUCGUCUGACCCCUAAGCGUAGUAAAAUACACCUCGCUUCUGGGCUGUUGGAUAGAGGCUUGCUGUGAAACCCCCAACUUUACAGGUUGACCUCGGAUCAG
rnacentral:rRNA from 2 species